GUGAGUGGCGAACUGGUGAGUAACACGUGGGAAACCUGCCCAGAAGCGGGGGAUAACACCUGGAAACAGAUGCUAAUACCGCAUAACAACUUGGACCGCAUGGUCCGAGUUUGAAAGAUGGCUUCGGCUAUCACUUUUGGAUGGUCCCGCGGCGUAUUAGCUAGAUGGUGAGGUAACGGCUCACCAUGGCAAUGAUACGUAGCCGACCUGAGAGGGUAAUCGGCCACAUUGGGACUGAGACACGGCCCAAACUCCUACGGGAGGCAGCAGUAGGGAAUCUUCCACAAUGGACGAAAGUCUGAUGGAGCAACGCCGCGUGAGUGAAGAAGGGUUUCGGCUCGUAAAACUCUGUUGUUAAAGAAGAACAUAUCUGAGAGUAACUGUUCAGGUAUUGACGGUAUUUAACCAGAAAGCCACGGCUAACUACGUGCCAGCAGCCGCGGUAAUACGUAGGUGGCAAGCGUUGUCCGGAUUUAUUGGGCGUAAAGCGAGCGCAGGCGGUUUUUUAAGUCUGAUGUGAAAGCCUUCGGCUCAACCGAAGAAGUGCAUCGGAAACUGGGAAACUUGAGUGCAGAAGAGGACAGUGGAACUCCAUGUGUAGCGGUGAAAUGCGUAGAUAUAUGGAAGAACACCAGUGGCGAAGGCGGCUGUCUGGUCUGUAACUGACGCUGAGGCUCGAAAGUAUGGGUAGCAAACAGGAUUAGAUACCCUGGUAGUCCAUACCGUAAACGAUGAAUGCUAAGUGUUGGAGGGUUUCCGCCCUUCAGUGCUGCAGCUAACGCAUUAAGCAUUCCGCCUGGGGAGUACGGCCGCAAGGCUGAAACUCAAAGGAAUUGACGGGGGCCCGCACAAGCGGUGGAGCAUGUGGUUUAAUUCGAAGCUACGCGAAGAACCUUACCAGGUCUUGACAUACUAUGCAAAUCUAAGAGAUUAGACGUUCCCUUCGGGGACAUGGAUACAGGUGGUGCAUGGUUGUCGUCAGCUCGUGUCGUGAGAUGUUGGGUUAAGUCCCGCAACGAGCGCAACCCUUAUUAUCAGUUGCCAGCAUUAAGUUGGGCACUCUGGUGAGACUGCCGGUGACAAACCGGAGGAAGGUGGGGAUGACGUCAAAUCAUCAUGCCCCUUAUGACCUGGGCUACACACGUGCUACAAUGGAUGGUACAACGAGUUGCGAACUCGCGAGAGUAAGCUAAUCUCUUAAAGCCAUUCUCAGUUCGGAUUGUAGGCUGCAACUCGCCUACAUGAAGUCGGAAUCGCUAGUAAUCGCGGAUCAGCAUGCCGCGGUGAAUACGUUCCCGGGCCUUGUACACACCGCCCGUCACACCAU
rnacentral:rRNA from 1 species